rnacentral:rRNA from 1 species
AUUGAACGCUGGCGGAAUGCUUUACACAUGCAAGUCGAACGGUAGAGGGGGCAACCCCUCGAGAGUGGCGAACGGGUGAGUAAUAUAUCGGAACGUAUCCAAUAAUGGGGGAUAACUAAUCGAAAGGUUGGCUAAUACCGCAUACGCCCUACGGGGGAAAGCAGGGGAUCUUCGGACCUUGCGUUAAUGGAGCGGCUGAUAUCUGAUUAGCUAGUUGGUGAGGUAAAGGCUCACCAAGGCGACGAUCAGUAGCUGGUCUGAGAGGACGACCAGCCACACUGGAACUGGGACACGGUCCAGACUCCUACGGGAGGCAGCAGUGGGGAAUUUUGGACAAUGGGCGCAAGCCUGAUCCAGCCAUUCCGCGUGCAGGAUGAAGGCCCUCGGGUUGUAAACUGCUUUUGUACAGAACGAAAAGGUUUCUACUAAUACUAGGAGCUCAUGACGGUACUGUAAGAAUAAGCACCGGCUAACUACGUGCCAGCCACCGCCGUAA